rnacentral:rRNA from 1 species
AUGAUUAAAAACGUGUCAAACUGGCUGCGGCAGGUCGUCGUAGCUGGAGACGGCGGCGGCCGUCUCGUCGUCCUCGUCCCACUCGCCGCAGACGACGGUGCGCACGAACUCCAUGAAUGGCGACCAGUGCUCCGGCGAGAAGAACUCGGCCCCCAUCCGCCUGUAGGUGAAGAAGGUCGGCUUCAUCCGCUCCGCGGUGACGAUGUUGCUCUUGAUCCGCGAGAAGCUGCUGGUGUGCGUCAUCACCAGCGACGCGUUCUCGCCGGCGAUACGCGCGCCGUGCCGCCGGCACGCGUUCUUGAUCUGCACCAGCAGCUUGUCCGGGCUGGACCCCGUGUUCCGCUGCUGCUUGUUCAUGCACACGUCCAUGCCGGGCACCACCAUGGUGCACCCGUGCUGCGCGAACACCUUGGCCACCGGGCUGUACCCGUUCUUCUUGUUGCUCUUGUAGAACCCCGCCACCGCCUCCGCCGGCCGCGACUGCGCGCCGUGCCACCAGUGCAUGAACGGCACCUUGGCCGACAGCUCCACCGGCUUGCUGCCGAACACGCGGCUCGCCAUGCCGAGCACGCGGUCGCCGUGGCUGAGGAGCUUCCCGGCGUACCAGGAGAGGAAGAAGUCGCCGUAGGGGCUGUCCCACGAGCCGUGGUCGCGGAAGAACUCGCUCGAGUCCGGCGACUCGUUGUACCCCGGCGCGUCGUGCGGGCCGGCGAGGCCCCACAGCGGGUUGCCCAGCGCCUCCGCGUGCUGCCUCAGCUGCGCCAGCAUGUACUUGUCGUAGCACUGGAACUCGCCCACGCCGAUGAACUGGGUCACGUCGCUCCCCGGCGGGUACGACGGGUACCGGAGCUCGCCGUUCGGCCCCAGCCCCACCGUCACGUCCUGAGCACCAUCGGUCGACCCUAG